UACGAACUGUGCAAACGUUAUUCGGAAUCACUGGGCUUAAAGGGUGCGUAGGCGGCUAUCUAAGCAGGGGGGGAAAGCCCCCGGCUCAACCGGGGAAUUGCGUUCUGAACUGGAUGGCUGGAGUGAGAUAGGGGUGUGUGGAACUUCCAGUGGAGCGGUGAAAUGUGUUGAUAUUGGAAGGAACGCCGGUGGCGAAAGCGACACACUGGGUCUCAACUGACGCUGAGGCACGAAAGCCAGGGGAGCGAACGGG
rnacentral:rRNA from 1 species